AACAGCGCCGUAACAAAUCGGCCGGAUUUGGCGCAGGCUACCGGGUCUGCGGGAAUUAUUGCGAAUCGGUCUCCGGCCUUGCUCGGGUAUAAAACCUCGACACAGCUCCCAGCUUCUCCAUGCCAUGCCAUGGUCCGCCAUUUACUUUGAGAGUGGGAGAACAGCCAUUGUUGAGGGUUGGUCCUCUUCGCCAUUGGCCCGAGAAAAUUGGUCUAGGAAGAUCAGCAUCGAAUGUAGGACGUCUUCGGGGGCUCAGCCAUGUGAGAAAUCAUGUGGGCGACUGGUAAUUCAUUGCCGGAUUCCGACUCUUGCGGCCAAAUCGCCGCGCGACGAGAACAAGCCUCCUCGGGAUCUAAUCACCGCGCGAGGUUUCGAGGAUCUCAAGAAUCAUCCUGGUAACUGGAAUCUUGAGUGCCAGGAGAAGAACAUAUGGUUCAAGUGGAGCCACACAUCGAGGAUUUCGAUUCAAUCUAGGUGGCGUCUCCUAGUUAACUUGCGCCAAGGAUGAUCCAUAGUUCGUUUUCUAUUUACCUUUUACUUUUGUAAGACUUCCGCUAUAUAAUAAGUACUCUGAUUUUAUUGUGACAUUUAUCUCUA
rnacentral:lncRNA from 1 species